GCCGACCUAGCUCAAUGGCAGAGCAACGGUAUCGUAAACCGUAGGUUCUGGGUUCAAGUCCCAGGGUCGGCUCCA
rnacentral:tRNA from 2 species